rnacentral:misc_RNA from 1 species
AUCAGGUUUGAUGAAACCGUAACCUUUUUGGUUACUGAACCGAGACACAACCCCUGUCAAUCGAGUACCUUCGGCCGCCAUUGAUGAUUGAUGAGCUCAAAAUCGAUCAAACAAUCAAUAGAAAAAUAUUUGUGCCCUAAUUCUAUGGGAAUAGGGAGAAUUUAUAGGCUAAAUUGUUAAAAGCCUUAUUGAAUUAGGGCUUAUUGGAUCCCUUAUUUUAGUUAGGGUUUG